AUUGAACGUUGGCGGCAGGCCUAACACAUGCAAGUCGAACGAGUGGCGGACGGGUGAGUAAUGUCUGGGAAACUGCCUGAUGGAGGGGGAUAACUACUGGAAACGGUAGCUAAUACCGCAUACCAUCAGAUGUGCCCAGAUGGGAUUAGCUGGUUGGUGGGGUAACAGCUCACCAAGGCGACGAUCCCUAGCUGGUCUUAGAGGAUGACCAGCCGCACUGUAACUGAGACACAGUCCAGACUCCUACGAGUGGCAGCAGUGGGGAAGAUUGCAAAAUGGGCGCAAGCCUGAUGCAGCCAUGCCGCUUGUAUGAAGAAGGCCUUCGGGUUGUAAAGUACUUUCAGCGGGGGGGCGUUACCCGCAAAAGAAGGACCGGCUAACUCCGUGCCGGCUGCCGCGGUAAUAC
rnacentral:rRNA from 1 species